GUCAGGAUGGCCGAGCGGUCUAAGGCGCCAGACUCAAGUUUCACAACUUGCUCCGCUAAUGUGCAGGCAAAGGGCGUUCUGGUCCACUAAUGUGGGCGUGGGUUCGAAUCCCACUCCUGACA
rnacentral:tRNA from 1 species